rnacentral:rRNA from 1 species
GAUGAACGCUGGCGGCGUGCCUAAUACAUGCAAGUCGAGCGAACAGACGAGGAGCUUGCUCCUCUGACGUUAGCGGCGGACGGGUGAGUAACACGUGGAUAACCUACCUAUAAGACUGGGAUAACUUCGGGAAACCGGAGCUAAUACCGGAUAAUAUAUUGAACCGCAUGGUUCAAUAGUGAAAGACGGUUUUGCUGUCACUUAUAGAUGGAUCCGCGCCGCAUUAGCUAGUUGGUAAGGUAACGGCUUACCAAGGCGACGAUGCGUAGCCGACCUGAGAGAGUGAUCGGCCACACUGGAACUGAGACACGGUCCAGACUCCUACGGGAGGCAGCAGUAGGGAAUCUGCCGCAAUGGGCGAAAGCCUGACGGAGCAACGCCGCGUGAGUGAUGAAGGUCUUCGGAUCGUAAAACGCUGUUAUUAGGGAAGAACAAAUGUGUAAGUAACUAUGCACGGCUUGACGGUACCUAAUCAGAAAGCCACGGCUAACUACGUG